rnacentral:rRNA from 1 species
UACGGAGGGUGCAAGCGUUAUCCGGAUUCACUGGGUUUAAAGGGUGCGUAGGAGGGCAGGUAAGUCAGUGGUGAAAUCCCCGAGCUUAACUUGGGAACUGCCGUUGAUACUAUCUGUCUUGAAUACCGUGGAGGUGAGCGGAAUAUGUCAUGUAGCGGUGAAAUGCUUAGAUAUGACAUAGAACACCAAUUGCGAAGGCAGCUCGCUACACGAAUAUUGACUCUGAGGCACGAAAGCGUGGGGAUCAAAACAGGA